AGAGUUUGAUCCUGGCUCAGGAUGAACGCUGGCGGCGUGCUUAAGGUAUGCAAGUCGAGCGGAGAAUAUUUUGUAGCAAUACAUUAUAUUCUUAGUGGCGAACGGGUGAGUAAUGCGUAGAUAACUUUCCCCUAACAUUGGGAUAACCCUGCGAAAGCAGGGAUAAUACCAUGUGUGGUCCAGAGGUGUAAUUCCACUGGAUUAAAGACGUAAGUCGGUUAGGGAUAGGUCUGCGUCCUAUCAGCUUGUUGGCGGGGUAAAUGCCCACCAAGGCGACGACGGGUAGCUGGUCUGAGAGGAUGAUCAGCCACAUUGGAACUGAGACACGGCCCAGACUCCUACGGGAGGCAGCAGUGGGGAAUAUUGCACAAUGGGCGAAAGCCUGAUGCAGCGACGCCGCGUGAGGGAUGACGGCCUUCGGGUUGUAAACCUCUUUCAGCAGGGAAGAAGCGCAAGUGACGGUACCUGCAGAAGAAGCGCCGGCUAACUACGUGCCAGCAGCCGCGGUAAUACGUAGGGCGCAAGCGUUGUCCGGAAUUAUUGGGCGUAAAGAGCUCGUAGGCGGCUUGUCACGUCGAUUGUGAAAGCCCGAGGCUUAACCUCGGGUCUGCAGUCGAUACGGGCUAGCUAGAGUGUGGUAGGGGAGAUCGGAAUUCCUGGUGUAGCGGUGAAAUGCGCAGAUAUCAGGAGGAACACCGGUGGCGAAGGCGGAUCUCUGGGCCAUUACUGACGCUGAGGAGCGAAAGCGUGGGGAGCGAACAGGAUUAGAUACCCUGGUAGUCCACGCCGUAAACGGUGGGAACUAGGUGUUGGCGACAUUCCACGUCGUCGGUGCCGCAGCUAACGCAUUAAGUUCCCCGCCUGGGGAGUACGGCCGCAAGGCUAAAACUCAAAGGAAUUGACGG
rnacentral:rRNA from 1 species